UAAGAGUGGGUUGUUUAUACUAAUAGAAAAGAAUAGAGAUUCUGUGUAUGGUGUUUGGAGAACUGAAUACUGCAAAGAGGCUCUGGUGAGGGUGGGAUUCUAAAUCGGGUUUCGAGGGGCAUCUGGGGAAGAUAGGAGUCUUAAGAGAAGUAGUCAAGGGAAGCCUUAGGGUAGAAUGUUAGGGUAAUGGACCAAACUAGAGAAGAGAACAGGUGCCUGGGAAGCAAGAUUACACUGGUAGAGCCAGAAUUGGAGGCUCACUGUGUCAGCACGGGACUCUGGAUGCAGUUAAGAUGCCCACUGGUAGGUCCAGAAGCUAUGGAAGGGGGGAAAGUCAAUGAAAGAGGAAAAGAGGCUUGGGGUGAAGGUAGGACGCUCCAGGAAGUCCUGAGACAUGAGGAAGUGAGGAGACUGAGAAAGAUAUCAGGACAGUUGCAGUCUGGGCACGAGGAACUCAUGCUUUUGAGGAGGGUAUGAGGCCCUAGGAAGGCAGAAGGAUGAUAAAUAAUGAGGGAGGAGGGGGGAAACAGAAUCCUAGGGAACAAGUUAGGAGGAUAUGGGGAGGAGGACUGGAGACAACAGAGGUACUGAAAGAAACUAAGUGGGAAAUACAGGAGGAUUUGAGCAGAUGCCGCAGAUAUGGAUGGGUAGGAGGUUGGAAGUGGUGGCAGAUGUCCAGAAGACUAUAAAUAUUGGCUGUAAAGAGAGCAUGCUUAAGAGAGGGUAGGAAUCUUGGGCAGUUGAGAAGGCUGUGAGGAGGGCAGGAAGUUCCUUGCGAAAUUGGGACUCUGGGUUCUAGAAGCAGCCCCAGGGUGUCUAGAAAUCUCCAGGCCUUAGGAGUUGGGUGGAGCCUUACCAGAUUCAAGGCAGAAAGGAAGAGAUCACUUGACUAGGGACAGAGUAUGUGACUGGGUAAAGGCCAACGUCUGCAUGGAACACUGGAGGCUUGGGGGCAAGAGAGCAAAUAGCUGGGGGAAAGAGUAGGAGUCUCCGGAGUCCUGGGCUGGAGGCUGAGGUAAAGUAGAAAUUGAUGUGUCAUGCAGGGCUGGAUAGGGAGAUGGGAAAGGAGGGCAGAAGUCUGUGGAAGAUAACUAAAGUCUGUUGAGGAGGAUGGGAGGAGAGGAGUGUGCCUGGGAGAACAGAGGAACUCAGGAACCUGGGAGGGAGGGUCAUGGCCAGGGUCAGUGUAUGUUCCCACACUGUAGGAUAAAUGUCUUCAGGCUUAGGAGGCUGUGGGAAGCAUAAGCCUGUCGUGUAGAAGCUGGUGUUGGAACUUAAAAGACUGUUCAAGGGCACAGACCUACUCAGGGGUCGGGGUGGGGCAGGAUUGCACAGGGAGGACAAAAGACUGGACUUUAAGGCCGGGUAUCUAGGGAGACAUGAGAGGCUUCAGGGACUAGAAGGUCAGAGAGUAGUGCAGAGGCGUGGGAGAAGACGUGAAAAUAGGAAGCCAUGGGUAUUUUGCUUGCAGAAGUCUUGGAGAAAGUGGUUCAUGCUUAGCAAGAUAGGGAGGGAAUAGGGUUGCAGUAGAGAGGAGGAUCAGGGAAUGGGGAGACUAAGACCAGGUGAUUUUGAAUGUUGUAGGAAGAUGUUAGGAAAGGCAAGAUGCAUCCUACAGAAAGGGUUACUAACCAGAAGACAAGAAACUAGAUUGGAUUGGCAAAGAAGAAAACAGAAGGGCAAAGCAUAACUCUGAGGGUUUUAGGAUCAGAGCAUGAAUUAGAUGCUCAGGGGUAGGCAAGGUAUCUGGAGGAGGGCAAGAUGCUCAUUGGUAGAUCCAAAAGCUGUAGAGGGAUACUAAGUCUAGGCAAGAAGAAAAGUGUUUCAGGGUGAAGGUAAGAGAGCCAUGGGGGAGAUGAAUAGACUAUAUGGAGAAUGUCUGGAGUGUUCCAUACUAGAUAUGAAGGAUGAAUGCUCCUGAGGGUAGAAGGCUAUGAGAAAGCAGAAGAAUGUUGAGGAUAUUUGGCUAGAAGAGAGGAGACGGAUAGGAAAAUAUGGAAUGGAAGAGGGGAACAGGGUAGGAGGAAAGUGGGAAAGCAGGAAACAGGGGAAUGCAGGACAGACAGGGUGGGGAAAUGUCAUGUGGGGGAGGUUGGAAGUGAUGGCAAAGGUCUAGAAAUGCUGUAUCUAGGAGAACGAUGGUCAAGAGAGUGGAGGGGGUUUUGGUAGGUGAGAAGGCUAGAAGUUCUUGUGGGGGAUAAGGACACUGGGCUUCAGAAGCAAUUCUGGAGGUUUUAGAAAGCAAACAAAAUGUUCAGAAAUUCAGUGGAGGCUUUAAAAUAUAGGGUAGAAAGGAAGAGAGGACAUCAGUUAGCAAAAGACAGGGAAGUGGUCAGAGUCUGUUAAGAAGAGAAGACUGUGAGACAGUAGGAGGCUAAGAUGGGACAGAGUACAGGACAGAGGGCCACAUGCUUGGCAGGACAGCAGAACAGGGCUUCAGAAACGAGGUAGUCUGAGAGGAAGGUAAGAUGUAUGCUGCAGAGAGGAUCAUGAACCAGGGGAUGUAGGCACUAUGCUGGGUUAGGUACGAGUGUUGAAAAUGAGGGGUAGAGACAAGAGCUCCAGUGUGCAGGAACCAUCAAAACCUGGGAUGAGCAGGAGUUCUGCUAUGCUCUCUGCAGGAGGGGAAGUGGUUUGUGUAUAUGGUAAGGUGGCUGGAAGAGACAAAGCUAUGCAGGAGGACAGGAAUAUUUGCAGAUGAACAAAAGACAAUUUGGGGAGGGAUAAAGACAGAAGAUGAGGGAGUGAUAGGAGGCCCGGGUUUGGCAGGAUGAUGAGGGGAUCAUGGAGAAGACAGGUGUAAGAGGGAGGGGAAAAGGCUCAUGGGAAAAUGGAAGCUUGCUGUAGAAAAGUGGGCUGGAGAGUAGGGACACAAGUUCGGUUAGGCUGGGAGACUCUGGAGCUAGUCAUGUGUCUUAGCACUCAGGACAUCUGUCUGCUCUUCCACAGGCCCAGAACUUGAUGCCAAAUACCCACGUAGGAUGCACAGUGGCCCACAACUCCAUUUCCGGGGCACCCAAGGCACCCUUCUGCCCUAUUCUGGGACCAGGAAUGCAGUUGCUGCUUAGAACACACACUCGGGCAAAAC
rnacentral:lncRNA from 1 species